UUUCGCAAUGCCCGAAAGGGUGACGAAGCGACGCCGCGUGGGUGAGGAAGGCCUUCGGGUUGUAAAACCCUGUCAGGAGUUAAGAAAUGUAAGUUCGUUAAUACCGUACUUAUUUGACAAAGGCUCCAAAGGAAGCCACGGCUAACUCUGUGCCAGCAGCCGCGGUAAUACAGAGGUGGCAAGCGUUGUUCGGAAUUAUUGGGCGUAAAGAGCACGUAGGUGGGUUUGUAAGUCAGAUGUGAAAGCCUUCUGUUCAACGGAAGAAUUGCAUCUGAAACUGCGGGCCUUGAGUGUAGGAGGGGAGAAUGGAACUUCUGGUGGAGCGGUGAAAUGCGUAGAUAUCAGAAGGAACGCCGGCGGCGAAAGCGAUUCUCUGGCCUAUUACUGACACUCAGUGUGCGAAAGCUAGGGGAGCAAACGGGAUUAGAUACCCCGGUAGUCCUAACCGUAAACGAUGGGCACUAAGUAGAGGGGUUUUA
rnacentral:rRNA from 1 species